CAAUAGCGUAUAUUAAAGUUGUUGCAGUUAAAAAGCUCGUAGUUGGACCUUGGACCUGGACAGGCGGUCCGCCUCACGGCGUGUACUGUCUUGCUGGGUCUUUCCUCUUGGUGAUCUGUUGUUUCGGCAGCAGGGAACCAGGACUUUUACUUUGAAAAAAUUAGAGUGUUCAAAGCAGGCUCGACGCCGGAAUAUAUUAGCAUGGAAUAAUAAAAUAGGACGUGCGGUUCUAUUUUGUUGGUUUUUGGAAUCGCCGUAAUGAUUAAUAGGGACAGUCGGGGGCAUUAGUACUCACAUGCUAGAGGUGAAAUUCUUGGAUUUUGUGAAGACUAACUUCUGCGAAAGCAUUCGCCAAGGAUAUUUUCAUUAA
rnacentral:rRNA from 1 species